GAUGAACGCUGGCGGCGUGCUUAACACAUGCAAGUCGAACGGUGAAGCAGAGCUUGCUCUGUGGAUCAGUGGCGAACGGGUGAGUAACACGUGAGCAACCUGCCCCGGACUCUGGGAUAAGCGCUGGAAACGGCGUCUAAUACCGGAUACGAGCUGCGAAGGCAUCCUCAGCAGCUGGAAAGAAUUUCGGUCCGGGGUGGGCUCGCGGCCUAUCAGCUUGUUGGUGAGGUAAUGGCUCACCAAGGCGUCGAUGGGUAGCCGGCCUGAGAGGGUGACCGGCCACACUGGGACUGAGACACGGCCCAGACUCCUACGGGAGGCAGCAGUGGGGAACAUUGCACAAUGGGCGAAAGCCUGAUGCAGCAACGCCGCGUGAGGGACGACGGCCUUCGGGUUGUAAACCUCUUUUAGCAGGGAAGAAGCGAAAGUGACGGUACCUGCAGAAAAAGCACCGGCUAACUACGUGCCAGCCGCCGCCGUAAUAC
rnacentral:rRNA from 1 species